rnacentral:rRNA from 1 species
UACGAAGGGGGCUAGCGUUGCUCGGAAUCACUGGGCGUAAAGCGUGCGUAGGUGGUUUGUUAAGUCUGUUGUGAAAGCCCCGGGCUCAACCUGGGAAUGGCAAUGGAUACUGGCAGGCUAGAGUGCGGUAGAGGGUAGUGGAAUUCCCGGUGUAGCGGUGAAAUGCGUAGAGAUCGGGAGGAACACCAGUGGCGAAGGCGGCUACCUGGACCAGCACUAACACUGAGGCACGAAAGCGUGGGGAGCAAACAGG